AAAUUUGAAGGACAUGCGAAUGAUGUGUGUGUGGAAGAACUACUGGAAGACAUUCCUUUCAGAAGUCCCUCAUGAUAGGGAAUCCCAAGGCUGGAAAACAUCAUUCAAGUGGGCAAUCAAAUUACAUUUGUUAUUAAAAGCCACCCUGAGUGAAUCCCAGCACUGCCCUACAUAAAAUAUAUUUUUAAUUAUACUUCCUAUUUGAUGUCUGACUCCCCCUCCUCCUUCACUAAAAGAUGGAAAUGUGUCAUGUACCAGUAAUUCAUCCAAUGACUGCUCCUCAGUUCCAAAUUCACUGUUGACUGCCUGCUCUGCAAACGUAGAGGAAGUGACCUCAUAAUGUUUCAAGCUACCACUUCCUGUUGAUUGUGAUGAAAUGCCAGCUGAGACACAUGCCUUAGGAGCUAAGUGGCUUCUGUACUUGACCACUAUGAAGACUGCUGUGGAGAGGGUCCUUUUGGAUGCAAUGGAGCAGGGGCACCUAAUCCCUGAAUCACAGGCCUGUACUUGGCCACACAGCAAGAGAUGGGACCAUCUAGUUGCAGGAAAACAAACAAGUUCAGGACUCCCACUGAUUGUACAUUAUGCCUCAGCCGAGGUGCUCACCCCAUUCUCUAUGAUGCGACAAGAAGCCCCUUGGGAGCAUUUCAGGCCCACUCUGUACUUCUGUCAUUGUGCUCCUCACAGUCUGAAGCACCUAAGCUGAAGAGUCCCUUGAGAACAAGUACUAUCCCAUGGUUUCAUAAACUUUCUUCCAUUUGUGGUUCUUGACAAGUUAAAUUUAAAGUGCAUCUUAUCAAGAUGGAUAAACCCAAGUUUUCCAGAGCUGGAAUAUAGAAAAUGGAUGGACAUAUAAGUCCCACUCACCCAUAGCCAAGGCAUGGAGACCUGAACACAGCUGGGCCCUGGACAUCACCUUUCAUUCUGGAUCUACUAUGAAAGACAUCAGAGUUCAGGAGGAGACUGGGCAUCAUGUUAUUCAGUAGAGACGGGGUAUCACCAUGUUGACCAGGAUGGUCUCGAUCUCCUGACCUCGUGAUCCAACUGCCUCAAGGUCAAGCUCUUCAGGCCCACCUUGAGCCUUCCGAUGACCUGGACAGGCCCAGCUCUUUCCUCCCAGUGGCCUCUGCAGGCCUAGCUUUUGCCUCACAGGUAUUCCUUGAACAGGUUUCUACUUGCCUCCUGGUAGCCUUGACAAGCCCAAGUGUUGCCUCACUCUAACCUCAUUAGGACCAGCUCACAGUGGCCUCUCCAGACCCAGCAUCUGUCCCCUGACAGGCUGUCCAGGCCAAAACUUCUAGUCACCCUCUUCAGGCACAGCUUCUGUCUCACACUGGACUCUUUAGGUACAGCUCAUGCCUUUCGGCGGCCUCUUGAGGCCCAGUUUCCUGCAUCUCUGUGGCCUCUCCGGACUGACAGAUUUCUCAAAUCUGCCAUUCCAGGUCCAACUCCUGCCUCCAGUCGGCCCCAAUAGGCUUAAACUCUGCCUCACAGCAGACACCCCAGGCCAAGCGUGUGCCUCACCACAGUGCCCCCAGGCCAAGCUCCUGCCUUUCAGCAGCAUCUGCAGGCCCAGCUAAUGCCUCCCAAUGGCCUGUCUAGGUGAAGGCUCAUGCAUCACAACGGCCAUUCUGAUCAAGCUUUUAC